GGACGGGGCUCGGCACCUGCCCGGCCCCGCGCCCGCCCCUCCCCUCCGCCUCGCCCCCCCCGGCGCCGCUUACCGAGAUCGCUGCAGCUCGAAGGCGGCGGCGGGGCCGGGCUGCCCCAGCUCGCAGCCGCCGGGGCCCUGGGGGCUGGCGCGGCCGAAGGGAGCGGGCAGCACCCCGGCCGUGAAGGAGUUGAGGCGGCCGCGGCUCCCCGCCGGCCCCGCGGCGCCCAGGAAGGCGGCGGCCGGCACCUGCACGGCGGCGAAGGCGUCCUCCUCCUCGUCCUCCUCCUCCUCGCGGGGCCGGGGCGGGUCGGCGGGCGCGGCCGGGGGGCUGCCGAGCCGCGGCGGCGGCGGGGCCUGGCGGGGCCUGGAGGCGGCGGGGCCGUCGGCGCCCGGCGGCGGGGGCCGCCCGUCGAGGGAGAUGCUGGUGAGGAAGGAGAGCGCGGCCUGCCUGCGGCGGGGGUCGCCGCGCGGCGGCGGCGGCGGCCCCUUCCUGGGGCACGGCUCCGGCGGCGGCAGGGGCCCGGCGGCCGCGGGGCUGCCCGGGCUGGCGGCGGCCGCCGCCAUUGUCGGCCCCCUUCCCUCCCCGCUUCCCUCCCGCCGGUCGCCGCCUCUCUCUCUGCCGCCCUUCAGGCCGGCGGGCUAGCGGGGCGCGGGCGGGCGGCGGGGCAUGGGUGCCGUCGGGGGGGCCGCCGCCCCGUCGGGCCGCAUGGAUGGGAGCGCGGCGGGGCCGCCCUCCGCCCGGCCGUACCGAGCCCCCGCCGCCCGCCCUGCCCCUAUUUAUGGGUGCAGCCGCGCGGCGACGGGCCCCGUGCAACAACACGGCAAUCACGUGUGGGAAACGGGGAGCUGGAGGAAAACAAAAGCCCGGCCAGCAGCCCGGAGGAGGAGGAGGAGGAGGGAGAAGGGUGGGUCUCCGCGAGCUCCCUCCUUUCAACCUCUCUCGGUGUGCUUUUUUUUUUUUUUUUUUUUUUUUUUUUUUUUUUUUGCUUUUUUUUUUCCUCCCCCUUUCCCUCCUCCUCCUCCUCCUCCUCCUCCUCCUCUUCUUCCCUUCCUGGAUGCGUGGGGGCGGGCGGGAGCCGGGGGAGGUGGAGUCUGUGCCCGCGGUGCGCGGCACGUGGCCCGCCGGGCUGGCACCGCUACCGCUGCGGGUCCUGGAGCGGCCCGGAGCGCACCGGAGCGCUCGGCUCCCUCCUGCAACAUCCCGUAGGCUUCCCAACCGCUCAGCUCCAUCCCCAGCCCCGCUCUUUGGAGUGAACGCGCUGCGUCCCGCUCGCCCUCUCAUCCCCAGCCCCGCGAGGUGCGCCUUCCCCACCAUCCCGAAGCGGCGGCCGCCUGGCUUCCCUUCUCCGUCCCAUCGGCGCUGUUGUGUUGUGAUGUUCCUUGCAUCCUUUUGA
rnacentral:lncRNA from 7 species